rfam:Triticum urartu cultivar G1812 contig1210287, whole genome shotgun sequence.
AAGCCCAUGAUGAUUAGCUUUUUGUUGGAAUUACCAUCAGAUUCUAAAUGAUGAUAUUUUCACGGCUUAAU